AUGUCCACUGCAAGUGACUGGCAGCAAGACCAUGAGGUAGGGAAGAAGAUCAAGAGUGAGUCGGCGGCGGAGGCGGACCGGAUGAUGGCGGCGGCACGGAGGAGUAGCAGCCUGCCUGCAGCAGGCGCAGGACCAGGAUCGACACCGUCGUUCAACACGAUGACCCCAUGUGCCGCAUGUAAGCUGCUCCGGCGGCGGUGCGCGCAGGAGUGCCCCUUCUCGCCAUUCUUCUCGCCGCUAGAGCCGCACAAGUUCGCCUCCGUUCACAAGGUCUUCGGCGCGAGCAACGUCUCCAAGAUGCUCCUGGAGGUGCACGAGAGCCAGCGCGGCGACGCGGCCAACAGCCUGGUGUACGAGGCGAACCUGCGGCUCCGCGAUCCCGUCUACGGCUGCAUGGGCGCCAUCCUCACCCUGCAGCAGCAGGUGCACGCCCUGGAGGCCGAGCUCGCCGCCGUCCGCGCCCAGAUCCUCAAGCACAGGUACCGCCCUGCCGCCGCCGCGGCGGCGUCCGCGGUGCCCAACGUGCCCCCGUCCUCGCACGCCUCACAGCUCCUCGCCGCCGGAGGCCACCGGCCGGCUGGGUCGCUGGGGCUGGCAGCGCCGGCGGUGGGGCCUGUGGCUUCCGCGUCGUCGUCAACCACGGUGUACGCCGCGGCGUCGAGCUCCACGGACUACAGCUCCAUCACGCAUGAGAAUGUUCCGUUUUUUGGUUGA
rnacentral:rRNA from 1 species